rnacentral:rRNA from 1 species
GAUGAACGCUAGCGACAGGCUUAACACAUGCAAGUCGAGGGACCGGCGCACGGGUGAGUAACAAGUAUCCAACCUGCCCUUUACUCGGGGAUAGCCUUUCGAACGAAAGAUUAAUACCCGAUAUAAAGGAUGGGGAUGCGUUACAUUAGGUUGUUGGGGAGGUAACGGCCCACCAAGCCUUCGAUGGAAAGGGGUUCUGAGAGGAAGGUCCCCCAGAUUGGAACUGAGAUACGGUCCAAACGCGUACGGGAGGCAGCAGUGAGGAAUAUUGGUCAAUGGGCGGUAGCCUGAACCAGCCAAGUAGCGUGAAGGAUGAAGGCUUAUGGGUCGUAAACUUCUUUUAUAUAAGAAUAUGUAUUAUAUGAAUAAGGAUCGGUUAACUCCGUGCCAGCCGCCGCGGUAAUUC